AUUGACAGAUUGAUAGCUCUUUCAUGAUUUAGUGGUUGGUGGUGCAUGGCCGUUCUUAGUUCGUGGAUAUGAUUUGUCUGGUUGAUUCCGAUAACGAGCGAGACUUUUAUGUUAUAUUAAAUAAUAUUAUUUAUAAAUUUUAUAGUUUUUAUAUAAUAUUUUAUUUUAAUAACAGAUUAAUAGUGUUUAACUAUUUGAGAGAGAGCAAUAACAGGUCUGUGAUGCCCUUAGAUGUCCGGGGCUGCACGCGCGCUACAAU
rnacentral:rRNA from 1 species